AAGAACUUCCUUUACACAUUUGUUUGAAACUAAUGAGAACAAAGAUACAACAUACCAGUAUCUCUGGGGCAAAGCUAAGGCAGUAUUACGAGGGAUAUCUACAGCAUUACAUGCCCUGAUGUAGUUGGGCUGUGUCCCCACCCAAAUCUCAUCUUAAAUUGUGGUUCCCAUAAUCCCUACAUGUCAUGGGAGGGAGCUUGUAGAAGGUAACUGAAUCAUGGAGGUGAUUACCUGCAUGCCGCUGUUCUCAUGGUAGUGAGUUCUCAAGAGAUCUGAUGGUUUUAAAGGAGAUAGACCCCCUUUUUCUUGGCACUUUUUCUUACUGCUACAAUAUGAAGAAGGACGUUUGCUUUCCCUUCCACAAUGAUUGUAAGUUUCCUGAGGCCUCUCCAGCCAUGCCGAACUGUGAGUAAAUUAAACAUC